rnacentral:rRNA from 1 species
UUAACACAUGCAAGUCGAACGAGGCGAUUGAAAGCUUGCUUUGAAAGUCGAGUGGCAAACGGGUGAGUAACGCGUAGGCAACCUGCCUCUAGGAUGGGGACAACAGUCCGAAAGGACUGCUAAUACCGAAUGUUGUAUCAAUUCCGCAUGGAGUUGGUAUGAAAGAUGGCCUCUACUUGUAAGCUAUCACCUAGAGAUGGGCCUGCGUCUGAUUAGCUAGUUGGUGGGGUAACGGCCUACCAAGGCGAUGAUCAGUAGCCGGUCUGAGAGGAUGAACGGCCACAUUGGGACUGAGACACGGCCCAGACUCCUACGGGAGGCAGCAGUGGGGAAUCUUCCGCAAUGGGCGAAAGCCUGACGGAGCAAUGCCGCGUGAGUGAUGAAGGAAUUCGUUCCGUAAAGCUCUUUUGUUUAUGACGAAUGUGCAGAUUGUGAAUAAUGAUCUGUAAUGACGGUAGUAAACGAAUAAGCCACGGCUAACUACGUG